GGAGAACGCUGGCGGCGUGCCUAAUACAUGCAAGUCGAGCGGAACCUUUGGAGCUUGCUCCAUUGGUUUAGCGGCGGACGGGUGAGUAACACGUGGGCAACCUGCCCUGCAGAUCGGGAUAACUCCGGGAAACCGGUGCUAAUACCGAAUAGUUUUUUGCCCCUCCUGGGGCGAAACGGAAAGACGGUUUCGGCUGUCACUGCAGGAUGGGCCCGCGGCGCAUUAGCUAGUUGGUGGGGUAAUGGCCCACCAAGGCGACGAUGCGUAGCCGACCUGAGAGGGUGAUCGGCCACACUGGGACUGAGACACGGCCCAGACUCCUACGGGAGGCAGCAGUAGGGAAUCUUCCGCAAUGGACGCAAGUCUGACGGAGCAACGCCGCGUGAGUGACGAAGGUUUUCGGAUCGUAAAACUCUGUUGUGAGGGAAGAACAAGUACCAACUAACUACUGGUACCUUGACGGUACCUCACCAGAAAGCCACGGCUAACUACGUGCCAGCAGCCGCGGUAAUACGUAGGUGGCAAGCGUUGUCCGGAAUUAUUGGGCGUAAAGCGCGCGCAGGCGGUCCCUUAAGUCUGAUGUGAAAGCCCACGGCUCAACCGUGGAGGGUCAUUGGAAACUGGGGGGACUUGAGUGCAGAAGAGGAAAAGUGGAAUUCCACGUGUAGCGGUGAAAUGCGUAGAGAUGUGGAGGGAACACCAGUGGCGAAGGCGACUUUCUGGUCUGUAACUGACGCUGAGGCCCGAAAGCGUGGGGAGCAAA
rnacentral:rRNA from 1 species